rnacentral:rRNA from 1 species
CCUACGGGUGGCAGCAGUGAGGAAUAUUGGUCAAUGGACGAGAGUCUGAACCAGCAAAGCAGCGUGAAGGAUGACUGCCCUCUGGGUUGUAAACUUCUUUUAUAUGGGAAUAAAAUGCUCCACGUGUGGGAUUUUGUAUGUACCAUAUGAAUAAGGCACGGCUAACUCCGUGCCAGCAGCCGCGGUAAUACGGAGGAUCCGAGCGUUAUCCGGAAUUAUUGGGUUUAAAGGGAGAGUAGGUGGAUUGCUAAGUCAGUUGUGAAAGUUUGCGGCUUAACCGUAAAAUUGCAGUUGAAACUGGCAGUCUUGAGUACAGUAGAGGUAGGCGGAAUUCGUGGUGGAGCGGUGAAAUGCUUAGAGAUCACGAAGAACUCCGAUUGCGAAGGCGGUUCACUGGACUGCAACUGACACUGAGGCGCGAAAGUGUGGGUAGCAAACAGGAUUAGAUACCCCAGUAGUC